rnacentral:rRNA from 1 species
UGUGACCUCAAAUCAGGUAGGACUACCCGCUGAACUUAAGCAUAUCAAUAAGCGGAGGAAAAGAAACUAACAAGGAUUCCCCUAGUAACUGCGAGUGAAGCGGGAAAAGCUCAAAUUUAAAAUCUGGCAGUCUUUGGCUGUCCGAGUUGUAAUCUAGAGAAGUGCUAUCCGCGCUGGACCGUGUACAAGUCUCCUGGAAUGGAGCGUCAUAGAGGGUGAGAAUCCCGUCUUUGACACGGACUGCCAGGGCUUUGUGAUGCGCUCUCAAAGAGUCGGGUUGUUUGGGAAUGCAGCUCAAAAUGGGUGGUAAAUUCCAUCUAAAGCUAAAUAUUGGCGAGAGACCGAUAGCGAACAAGUACCGUGAGGGAAAGAUGAAAAGAACUUUGGAAAGAGAGUUAAACAGUACGUGAAAUUGCUGAAAGGGAAACGCUUGAAGUCAGUCGCGUUGUCCAGGGAUCAACCUUGCUUUUGCUUGGUGCACUUUCUGGUUGACGGGUCAGCAUCAAUUUUGACUAUUGGAAAAAGAUUAGGGGAAUGUGACAUCUUCGGAUGUGUUAUAGCCCUUGGUUGCAUACAAUGGUUGGGAUUGAGGAACUCAGCACGCCGCAAGGCCGGG